GCACCAUGAAGUAUCUCUCUAUUUUGAUGUUCCUUGUGAUGCUGAUUUCGGCUGUCACUGCGCAAGGCUGCAAAACAAGCAAUAUCCACUGCACUUACACUCAUGAGUGCUGCAGAGGAUUACGUUGUUGGAGGCGAUGCAUAUAAAUGGAGACAAAUCCAGAUGAAGGCGACGCGAAUCCCCGUUUCGGAAUGCGAUGCCGAACGGGGAUUCUGUCAUGCAGCAAAAACUUGCCGUUGAGAUACCUAGAAAUAGCAUUC